ACCACCUUCCUCACCCACGCU
rnacentral:miRNA from 1 species